AGAGUUUGAUCAUGGCUCAGGAUGAACGCUGGCGGCAUGCCUAACACAUGCAAGUCGAGCGAGAAGCAAGUGCUUGCACCUGCUUCUAGCGGCGGACGGGUGAGUAACACGUGGAUAAUCUACCUUUUGCAGGAGGACAACAGCGGGAAACUGCUGCUAAUACUCCAUAAGCUCCCGAGCUGGCAUCAGCACGAGAGGAA
rnacentral:rRNA from 1 species